rnacentral:rRNA from 1 species
AUACGUAGGUGGCAAGCGUUAUCCGGAAUUACUGGGUGUAAAGGGCGUGUAGGCGGCCUUAUAAGUUGGGUGUUUAAUUCCCGGGCUCAACCCGGGGUUGUCACUUAAAACUGUAGGGCUUGAGGCUCAGAGAGGACAGUGGAAUUCCUAGUGUAGCGGUAAAAUGCGUAGAUAUUAGGAGGAACACCAGUGGCGAAGGCGGCUGUCUGGCUGAGUACUGACGCUGAUGCGCGAAAGCGUGGGGAGCAAACAGGAUUAGAUACCCUGGUAGUCCACGCUGUAAACGAUGAAUACUAGGUGUAGGGGGUAUCGACCCCCUCUGCGCCGCAGUCAACACAUUAAGUAUUCCACCUGGGGAGUACGGCCGCAAGGCUGAA